GUGAGCCAGGGAAGAGGAAGAACGAGAGGGUUCAAUAGCAGUGGGAAUGGGAACAUGGAGGAAAGCAUGAGCUCUAAAUUUCCUCCAAAGGAGAUCCUGCUUUGUGUUUUCCUGAUGCCUCCCAUUCCUAUUGUUCUUGGGUGCUCCUUCCCCUUCCUUCUUGGCUUGC
rnacentral:pre_miRNA from 1 species